CAAGAAUAAUUUAUAUAUACUAAUACAUGUAUUAUAUCCUAAUGUUCAUAUAAUCCACCAUGAAGGUUUUUAUCUGUUAUACCCUUUGUAUUCCUGAACAUCUCUUUCCAUCAGCUCCCACCAGGGGGCGCCACAGCAGAUCCUCAUUCUCCAUCAUAAAUCCUCUUUCCCUCCAUCUCCUCCUUCUCUACAUCCAUUAACUUCUGUUUCUUCCUCUGUUCCUCCUCUCCUGCACCUCCAUGUUCAACAUCCUUUGUCCAGUUGUACUUAUGUAGUAAAUCAUUUAUGUAGGAUAUUUGGACAUUUAAAUUUAGUAUUGAAUAAAAACAAUUAUUUUCCUGCUUGUCGUCGUCAUUCUGAACGUAGAUCCUGAGUUCAGGUGGAUCCAGUGAAUGUGUCUCUGCUGCUCUGACCCCGUGAUGUGGAGGAAGGAGGCGGGUUCAGCUCAGUAAAACCAGCUGAGCUGAAGCUUCAGAUCAGUCAGAGCUACGAUGAGACCAACAUGUCUACCAGCUUCACUCUUUCUGGCCUCAUUGCUGUUCUCAACUGGGGUUAAAGUUCUCCCAGUUCGUCUGACUGUGAGUCCCAGCAGAUCUCAGUUCUUUAGAGGAGAAUCAGUGACUCUGAUCUGUGAGGAUGAAAACAGCUCUGAUGGAGGAACUGUGAGGAGAAACACAACCAGGAAACUGUCUGAGUGUAAAGAUGGAUGGGGAG